rnacentral:rRNA from 1 species
UACGAAGGGGGCUAGCGUUGCUCGGAAUCACUGGGCGUAAAGCGCACGUAGGCGGUCUUUUAAGUCAGGGGUGAAAUCCUGGAGCUCAACUCCAGAACUGCCUUUGAUACUGAGAGCCUUGAGUUCGGGAGAGGUGAGUGGAACUGCGAGUGUAGAGGUGAAAUUCGUAGAUAUUCGCAAGAACACCAGUGGCGAAGGCGGCUCACUGGCCCGAUACUGACGCUGAGGUGCGAAAGCGUGGGGAGCAAACAGG